GGCGGACGGGUGAGUAACGCGUAAGAACUUGCCCUUUAGACUGGGAUAACAGAGGGAAACUUCUGAUAAUACUGGAUAAGUUAGUAUAUCGCAUGAUAUGCAAAUGAAAGCUACGGCACUAAAGGAGAGCUUUGCGUCCUAUUAGCUAGUUGGUAAGGUAAGAGCUUACCAAGGCGAUGAUAGGUAGCCGGCCUGAGAGGGUGGACGGCCACAAGGGGACUGAGAUACGGCCCUUACUCCUACGGGAGGCAGCAGAA
rnacentral:rRNA from 1 species